GUAAUAUUGCCUCCGUCCGAAAAUACUUGUCAUUAAAAUGGAUAAAAAAAGAUGUAUCUCGAACUAAAAUACAUCUAGAUACAUCUCUUUUUAUCCAUUUUGAUGACAAGUAUUUUCAAAUGGAGGGAGUAUAUA
rnacentral:pre_miRNA from 1 species